rnacentral:rRNA from 1 species
GUGUCAGCCGCCGCGGUAAUACGUAGGUCCCGAACGUUGCGCGAAUUUACUGGGCGUAAAGGGUCCGUAGGCGGUCUGGUAAGUGGAAGGUGAAAUCCUGGGGCUCAACUCCAGAAUUGCCUUCCAAACUGCCGGACUUGAGGCAGGGAGAGGUCGGCGGAAUUCCCGGUGUAGCGAUGAAAUGCGUAGAUAUCGGGAGGAACACCAGUGGCGAAGGCGGCCGACUGGAACUGACCUGACGCUGAGGGACGAAAGCCAGGGGAGCGAACCGGAUUAGAUACCCCGGUAGUCCUAGCCGUAAACGAUGGGCACUAGAUGUUCCCACAUUUUGUGGGAGUGUCGAAGCUAACGCGUUAAGUGCCCCGCCUGGGGAGUACGGUCGCAAGGCUGAAACUUAAAUGAAUUGGCGGGG